rnacentral:rRNA from 1 species
UACGGAGGGUGCAAGCGUUAUCCGGAUUCACUGGGUUUAAAGGGUGCGUAGGAGGGCAGGUAAGUCAGUGGUGAAAUCUCCAAGCUUAACUUGGAACUGCCGUUGAUACUAUCUGUCUUGAAUAUUGUGGAGGUGAGCGGAAUAUGUCAUGUAGCGGUGAAAUGACUUAGAUAUGACAUAGAACACCAAUUGCGAAGGCAGCUCACUACACAAUCAUUGACUCUGAGGCACGAAAGCGUGGGGAUCGAACAGG